AAAGAUUCAUUUGGUUUGGCCUACAGUGCAUUUUAGUUAAUAUUUGAAUUGGUUGUCAACAUUUUAAAACUGGAACUCUUUCAUCAAUAAUAGGGAAUUUGUUACCCUGCUUCGUACGUGCUCUCCUGAAAACAGCUGGGCAGAGUCAAGGUCGGCCCCUUCGGAGAAGCCAGAGAUCCCUUGCUGUUCAUGUUAAACGUGGCUGACAAUGAUAAGUAGCCUGAAUGGGGAAACCAAGACAGCAACUGUCAUGUGUUUAGUAGACACAAACCAGAUUCUGAUCUCAGAAGCAACUCAGGUGCCCAAUUUCAACUACGACACACAACCAACCAAGACAAAUUCUCAGCAAUCCACUGUGGUGAGAAGAAUCGAAAUAAAAUUGGGGGAAAUCCUCAG